GGAGUUAGCCGGUGCUUCUUCUGUGAGUGAUGUCCUUCCUGCCGGUUAUUGACCCGCAGGCCUUCUUCCUCACUGAAAGUGCUUUACAACCCGAAGGCCUUCUUCACACACGCGGCAUGGCUGGAUCAGGGUUGCCCCCAUUGUCCAAUAUUCCCCACUGCUGCCUCCCGUAGGAGUCUGGGCCGUGUCUCAGUCCCAGUGUGGCUGAUCAUCCUCUCAGACCAGCUACGGAUCGUCGCCUUGGUGAGCCGUUACCUCACCAACCAGCUAAUCCGACAUAGGCUCAUCCGAUAGCGCGAGGCCCGAAGGUCCCCCGCUUUCCCCCGUAGGGCGUAUGCGGUAUUAGCCUGGGUUUCCCCAGGUUAUCCCCCACUACCGGGGCAGAUUCCUAUGCAUUACUCACCCGUCCGCCGCUCGCCACCAGGGAGCAAGCUCCCCGUCGCUGCCGCUCGACUGCAUGUGUUAGGCCGUCGCCGCCACGCGUUCAAUCUGAGCCAGAAUACAAACCUACUGA
rnacentral:rRNA from 1 species